UACGAAGGGGGCUAGCGUUGCUCGGAAUUACUGGGCGUAAAGCGCACGUAGGCGGCUUGGCAAGUCGGAUGUGAAAUCCCUCGGCUCAACCAAGGAAGUGCAUCCGAAACUGCUGAGCUUGAGUACUUAAGAGGAUCGCGGAAUUCCCGGUGUAGAGGUGAAAUUCGUAGAUAUCAGGAGGAACACCAGUGGCGAAGGCGGCUUUCUGGACGGUAACCGACGCUGAGACGCGAAAGCGUGGGGAGCAAACAGG
rnacentral:rRNA from 1 species